UACGUGGGGGGCAAGCGUUGUUCGGAAUUACUGGGCGUAAAGGGCUCGUAGGCGGCCCUCUCAGUCGGAUGUGAAAUCCCCAGGCUUAACCUGGGAACGGCAUCCGAUACUGGAGGGCUUGAAUUCGGGAGAGGGAUGCAGAAUUCCAGGUGUAGCGGUGAAAUGCGCAGAUAUCAGGAGGAACACCGGUGGCGAAGGCGGCAUCCUGGACCAAUACUGACACUGAGGCGCGAAAGCGUGGGGAGCGAACAGG
rnacentral:rRNA from 1 species